UACAGAGGGUGCAAGCGUUAAUCGGAAUUACUGGGCGUAAAGCGUGCGCAGUCGGUUAUUUAAGUCGGGCGUGAAAGCCCCGGGCUCAACCUGGGAAUUGCGUUCGAUACUGGAUAGCUAGAGUUCGGCAGAGGGAAGCGGAAUUUCGGGUGUAGCGGUGAAAUGCGUAGAUAUCCGAAGGAACAUCAGUGGCGAAAGCGGCUUCCUGGACCAGAACUGACGAUCAGGCACGAAAGCGUGGGGAGCAAACGGG
rnacentral:rRNA from 1 species